rnacentral:lncRNA from 1 species
GGCCAAACAAGAAAAGAGCAUCAGACUUCAAACCUGAGAACCAGAAAGCUUCAUGAAGAUCUGAGGAAGAGCUUGGUGAUCAGAGACCUGUGAACCCACUUAGAGAGUCAACUAUGGUCCUCUUAGCACAUGAUGUGCUUGCUUCUAAUUCACAACUGGCUAAGAAAGACCCAACAAAUAGUUGAGUCUUCCCCAGUCCGUGAGUCAGGGAGAAUAUAGGGAUACCACCGAAGAAAUAAGACUUCUCUAGAAGCCUCUUCAGGAGACAGACAGCAUCCAGUCAGCCUACAUGAGCUUCCAGGCAGAAGGGAAAAUGAGAAAAGAACAGAAGCAAUUGAAGCAACACAACCAUAUCUAAGAUUUUUAUUGCCCAACGUUAAAGAAGAAUUACAACGGUUACUUACUUUUAUGGCUCUUGCAUCAGAACCUAAUGCCUACAAGGUGCAAAAACAGUUUGCUAACAAAACGGUGGUCCUGAAAACUCUUGCCAAAGCAGUUUUGCAAUCCAGAUCAUUAUUAAAACUCCGGACAGAACGACUAGUCUUAUUUCUACUGAAGUUUCAUUCUGAGCUCUUCAAGGCACCGGUUACUUUAUUAGAUCUGAUUAAUAAGAAACUUAAGAUGCUUCUACAUGGAGACGAUCCAGAUGCCAUAUCAGGUAUUGAUCCAGACUUACUCUUUCUUCAUCGUUACGUGACUGAUACAGGUACAUAA